CAAUCUGCCUUGGAGUGGGGAAUAACGGUUGGGAAACAGCCGCUAAUAACCGCAUGAUGCGUCUGGGAGGCAUCUCUCUGGACGCCAAAGAUUUAUACGCUCUGAGAUGAGCUCGCGUCUGAUUAGCUAGUUGGCGGGGCAACGGCCCACCAAGGCGACGAUCAGUAGCCGGACUGAGAGGUUGGCCGGCCACAUUGGGACUGAGACACGGCCCAGACUCCUACGGAAGGCAGCAG
rnacentral:rRNA from 1 species